rnacentral:rRNA from 1 species
UACAGAGGGUGCAAGCGUUAAUCGGAAUUACUGGGCGUAAAGCGCGCGUAGGCGGUCUAGUAAGUUGGAUGUGAAAGCCCCGGGCUCAACCUGGGAAUUGCAUCCAAAACUGCUAGGCUAGAGUACAGUAGAGGGUGGUGGAAUUUCCUGUGUAGCGGUGAAAUGCGUAGAUAUAGGAAGGAACACCAGUGGCGAAGGCGACCACCUGGACUGAUACUGACGCUGAGGUGCGAAAGCGUGGGGAGCAAACAGG